rnacentral:rRNA from 1 species
UCGGGAAUUUUGCACAAUGGCCGAAAGGCUGAUGCAGCAACGCCGCGUGAGCGAAGAAGGCCUUCGGGUUGUAAAGCUCUGUUGCCUGCGAAGAAGGGCCCUGUCAGGAAAUGGGCGGGGUUUGACGGUAGCAGGCGAGGAAGCCCCGGCAAACUACGUGCCAGCAGCCGCGGUAAUACGUAGGGGGCGAGCGUUGUCCGGAAUUACUGGGCGUAAAGGGCGUGUAGGCGGCCUGUUAAGUCAGGGGUGAAAGACCGGGGCUCAACCCCGGGGGUGCCUCUGAAACUGGCGGGCUUGAGUGCUCUAGAGGGCAGUGGAAUUCCCGGUGUAGCAGAGAAAUGCGUAGAGAUCGGGAGGAACACCAGUGGCGAAGGCGGCUGCCUGGGGAGUCACUGACGCUGAGGCGCGAAAGCUAGGGGAGCAAACAGG